rnacentral:lncRNA from 1 species
UUUCAAACGCUUUCAAAUAGCUUCAAAUCAAUUGGACACUCUCAGAAGGCUUUGAAAACUUCUUCAACUUGCAGAAACUUUAAUUUUGGUACAGUUGAUGAAGCUUUUCAAAUCCAACCUUUUGAACUACUUGAAAUAUCAUAAAAAAAUUCUUCAAAGAUAAGAAACAUAUUAGUAGUCCUUUCAAAUGAUUUGCGAUCAUCAAAAUCAAUUCUUGGAGCAACAAAUACAAACUCAUGGUCAAAAAUUAAGUGACGAUAAUAUUAAGUCCUACAAAAAUAAAUACAACC